AGCUUCUCGAAUAUGUGCUGAGACUUCGUCAGACACCAACCCAUUAGGGUUGAUCGGACUUCCAAGAUAAGUGAAGUU
rnacentral:pre_miRNA from 1 species